CGAAGGGGGCUAGCGUUGUUCGGAAUUACUGGGCGUAAAGCGCGUGUAGGCGGUUGCCCAAGUCGGGUGUGAAAGCCUUGAGCUCAACUCAAGAAAUGCACUCGGUACUGGGUGACUAGAGGACCGGAGAGGAUAGUGGAAUUCCCAGUGUAGUGGUGAAAUACGUAGAGAUUGGGGAGAACACCAGUGGCGAAGGCGGCUAUCUGGACGGUUUCUGACGCUAAGACGCGAAAGCGUGGGGAGCAAACAGGAUUAGAUACCCUGGUAGUCCACGCCGUAAACGAUGGGUGCUAGACGUUGGCGAGCUUGCUCGUCAGUGUCGCAGCUAACGCGUUAAGCACCCCGCCUGGGGAGUACGGCCGCAAGGUUG
rnacentral:rRNA from 1 species